rnacentral:rRNA from 1 species
UACGGAGGGGUGCAAGCGUUAAUCGGAAUUACUGGGCGUAAAGCGUGCGUAGGUGGUUGAAUAAGUUAUGUGUGAAAUUCCUGGGCUUAACCUGGGCCGGUCAUAUAAUACUGUUCGACUCGAGUAUGGGAGAGGGUAGUGGAAUUUCCGGUGGUAGCGGUGAAAUGCGUAGAGAUCGGAAGGAACAGCCAGUGGCGAAGGCGGCUACCUGGCCUAAUACU